AUUGUAGGCGUGCAACUCGCCUACAUGAAGCGGAAUUGCUAGUAAUCGCGGAUCAGCAUGCCGCGGUGAAUACGUUCCCGGGCCUUGUACACACCGCCCGUCACACCAUGGGAGUCGGUAACACCCGAAGCCUGUAGUCUAACCGCAAGGGGGACGCAGUCGAAGGUGGGAUUGAUGACUGGGGUGAAGUCGUAACAAGGUAUC
rnacentral:rRNA from 1 species